UGGGGAAUAUUGCACAAUGGGGGAAACCCUGAUGCAGCGACGCCGCGUGAAGGAUGAAGUAUUUCGGUAUGUAAACUUCUAUCAGCAGGGAAGAAAAUGACGGUACCUGACUAAGAAGCCCGGCUAACUACGUGCC
rnacentral:rRNA from 1 species